rnacentral:rRNA from 1 species
GUGGGGAAUUGUUCGCAAUGGGCGCAAGCCUGACGACGCAACGCCGCGUGGAGGACGAAGAUCUUCGGGUCGUAAACUCCUGUCGAGCGGGAAGAACGCUUCCCGGGUGAAUAAUCCGGGGAAUUGACGGUACCGCUAAAGGAAGCCCCGGCUAACUCCGUGCCAGCAGCCGCGGUAAUACGGGGGGGGCAAGCGUUGUUCGGAAUUACUGGGCGUAAAGGGCUCGUAGGCGGCCAACUAAGUCGGAUGUGAAAUCCCCAGGCUUAACCUGGGAACUGCAUCCGAUACUGGAUGGCUUGAAUCCGGGAGAGGGAUGCAGAAUUCCAGGUGUAGCGGUGAAAUGCGUAGAUAUCUGGAGGAAUACCGGUGGCGAAGGCGGCAUCCUGGACCGGCAUUGACGCUGAUGAGCGAAAGCCAGGGGAGCAAACGGGAUUAGAUACCCUAGUAGUCC